rnacentral:rRNA from 1 species
CCUACGGGGUGCAGCAGUCGAGAAUCAUUCACAAUGGGGGAAACCCUGAUGGUGCGACGCCGCGUGGGGGAAUGAAGGUCUUCGGAUUGUAAACCCCUGUCAUGUGGGAGCAAAUUAAAAAGAUAGUACCACAAGAGGAAGAGACGGCUAACUCUGUGCCAGCAGCCGCGGUAAUACAGAGGUCUCAAGCGUUGUUCGGAAUCACUGGGCGUAAAGCGUGCGUAGGCUGUUUCGUAAGUCGUGUGUGAAAGGCGCGGGCUCAACCCGCGGACGGCACAUGAUACUGCGAGACUAGAGUCAUGGAGGGGGAACCGGAAGUCUCGGUGUAGCAGUGAAAUGCGUAGAUAUCGAGAGGAACACUCGUGGCGAAGGCGGGUUCCUGGACAUUAACUGACGCUGAGGCACGAAGGCCAGGGGAGCAAACAGGAUUAGAUACCCCAGUAGUC